CCUACGGGAGGCAGCAGUGGGGAAUUUUCCGCAAUGGGCGAAAGCCUGACGGAGCAAUACCGCGUGAGGGAGGAAGGCUCUUGGGUUGUAAACCUCUUUUCUCAGGGAAGAUAAUGACGGUACCUGAGGAAUAAGCAUCGGCUAACUCCGUGCCAGCAGCCGCGGUAAUACGGAGGAUGCAAGCGUUAUCCGGAAUGAUUGGGCGUAAAGCGUCCGCAGGUGGUUUUGAAAGUCUGCUGUUAAAGCGUGCGGCUUAACCGCAUAAGGGCAGUGGAAACUAUGAGACUAGAGUGCGUUAGGGGCAGAGGGAAUUCCCAGUGUAGCGGUGAAAUGCGUAGAGAUUGGGAAGAACACCGGUGGCGAAGGCGCUCUGCUAUACCGUAACUGACACUGAGGGACGAAAGCUAGGGGAGCGAAUGGGAUUAGAUACCCCAGUAGUCCUAGCCGUAAACGAUGGAUACUAGGCGUUGUCUGUAUCGACCCGGACAGUGCCGUAGCUAACGCGUUAAGUAUCCCGCCUGGGGNGUACGCNGCACUGUGAACUACAAUAGAAUUAGACGGCGUGAGACGUGCCGACGGACGACGACGAGGGAGGUAGG
rnacentral:rRNA from 1 species